rnacentral:rRNA from 1 species
CUAAGCCUAAAUAUUCCCUGGUGACCGAUAGCGGAUAGUACCGUGAGGGAAUGGUGAAAAGUACCGCGGGAGCGGAGUGAAAUAGUACCUGAAACCGUGUGCCUACAAGCCGUGGGAGCGUCGCCGUCAUUCUUCGGAAUGACGGUCGUGACUGCGUGCCUUUUGAAGAAUGAGCCUGCGAGUUAGCGGUGUGUAGCGAGGUUAACCCGUGUGGGGAAGCCGUAGCGAAAGCGAGUCCGAAUAGGGCGAUUGAGUU